UACGUAGGGGGCAAGCGUUGUCCGGAUUUAUUGGGCGUAAAGCGCGUGUAGGCGGCUGGGUAGGUCCGCUGUGAAAACUCGAGGCUCAACCUCGAGACGUCGGCGGAAAACCAUCCAGCUAGAGUCCGGAAGAGGAGAGUGGAAUUCCUGGUGUAGCGGUGAAAUGCGCAGAUAUCAGGAAGAACACCAGUGGCGAAGGCGGGUCUCUGGACAGUUCCUGACGCUGAGGCACGAAGGUCAGGGGGAGCAAAACGGGG
rnacentral:rRNA from 1 species